GAUGAACGCUGGCGGCGUGCUUAACACAUGCAAGUCGAACGGAAAGGCCCAAGCUUGCUUGGGUACUCGAGUGGCGAACGGGUGAGUAACACGUGGGUGAUCUGCCCUGCACUUCGGGAUAAGCCUGGGAAACUGGGUCUAAUACCGGAUAGGACGAUGGUUUGGAUGCCAUUGUGGAAAGUUUUUUCGGUGUGGGAUGAGCUCGCGGCCUAUCAGCUUGUUGGUGGGGUAAUGGCCUACCAAGGCGUCGACGGGUAGCCGGCCUGAGAGGGUGUACGGCCACAUUGGGACUGAGAUACGGCCCAGACUCCUACGGGAGGCAGCAGUGGGGAAUAUUGCACAAUGGGCGCAAGCCUGAUGCAGCGACGCCGCGUGGGGGAUGACGGCCUUCGGGUUGUAAACUCCUUUCGCUAGGGACGAAGCGUUUUUGUGACGGUACCUGCAGAAGAAGCACCGGCUAACUACGUG
rnacentral:rRNA from 1 species